GACGAACGCUGGCGGCGUGCUUAACGCAUGCAAGUCGAACGGAAAGGCCCUGCUUUUGUGGGGUGCUCGAGUGGCGAACGGGCGAGUAACACGUGAGUAACCUGCCCUUGACUUUGGGAUAACUUCAGGAAACUGGGGCUAAUACCGGAUAGGAGCUCCUGCUGCAUGGUGGGGGUUGGAAAGUUUCGGCGGUUGGGGAUGGACUCGCGGCUUAUCAGCUUGUUGGUGGGGUAGUGGCUUACCAAGGCUUUGACGGGUAGCCGGCCUGAGAGGGUGACCGGCCACAUUGGGACUGAGAUACGGCCCAGACUCCUACGGGAGGCAGCAGUGGGGAAUAUUGCACAAUGGGCGGAAGCCUGAUGCAGCAACGCCGCGUGCGGGAUGACGGCCUUCGGGUUGUAAACCGCUUUCGCCUGUGACGAAGCGUGAGUGACGGUAAUGGGUAAAGAAGCACCGGCUAACUACGUG
rnacentral:rRNA from 1 species